rnacentral:lncRNA from 1 species
GUAGUAUAUAUAAUGGUGAUCAUAUAUAGGGAUUCUUACCUCUAUCGAUGAUCGAUCUAAAUACAGAAAUCGAUGAGCUCCAUAAUCUACAAAUCCGAAAUUAAGAUAUUUUGCUCGAUACCUUCUUGUACAACAAUUGCAUCUCUACAUGAUUAAGAUUAAAUAUAAAAAUCAUGUACGAUUAAGGACAGAAAAAUUACGAAAAAAUCUUUAAAUAUUAUAAGUCUAAGACUCUCCUAGGGUCAACCA